ensembl:lncRNA
CUCAAGAAUACAACUUUUAUCUCAAAAACAACUUUUGUUAUCUCAAGAAUACAACUUUUAUCUCAAAAAAACAACUUUUGUUAUCUAAAGAAAACUUAUCUCACAAAUAAAACUUAGCUAAAAAAACAACAACUUUUUUUAAUCUCAAGAAUAAAAACUUUUAUGUCAUGUCAAAAACAGCCUUUGUUAUCUUGAGAUCAGGAGAACAAUAAGUCGUGGUAACAAGAUAACGGCAGAGAAAAAUAUAAUUAAAUCCUGGUCUUGCUGCUAAUUUAGGGGAUUUGGUUUGAGGUACUUGGCAACCUUGAUGUAACCACAGAAAUAUUAUGGCGCUGGAGACGUGUAUAGCUUUUUUAUUAGCAGAUGAGUUAGACGCUGAAGAAUACGCCCACUUAAAAAAGCCUCUCACAACACGAGGAAUUAGAGGAGGUGAUGAUGACGAUGAUGACGAUGAUGAAGAUGAUGACGAUGAUGACGAUUACGAUGAAGACAAAAGGAGCUACUUCAGUGCUACAGUUCCCAGCCUCUCUGUCCUGGAUUUCCAGAAAUGCUUUCAGCUCACACAACCCCAAGUUGAAGAGUUGGUAAACUUGUUGUCACCUUGCGAAUGGACGACUCUUAAACUUGAAGGAUGGACUGUGAUGCAUGCGGUGCUUGCCAGUCUAUGGACUCUUUCCACUCUGGAGGCUCACAGCAGCGUCGCAGCCCGUUUUCACACCAGCGAGUCUCUAAUUCGCCUCCACCUGAACGAUUUCUGCACCUUGAUUACAAACAACUUUGCCGAUCGUAUCCGCUGGCCCAAGUGGAAAGAAGCCGAAACUUCUGUGGCCGGAUUCUUAACUAACAUCGGUCUUCCUGGUACCGUUUGUGUGCUCGGUUCCUGCUCGAUUCCCAUUGACAGGCCUUCUGACGUGCCAGAUCCAGAGGUAUAUCGGGACUCUGUAGAAAACGCAUACUCUGUAACUCUCUUGGCUUUCUGCAACCAUCAGGGUUGCUUCACUUUUGUAAACGCAGAGCACCCAGGAAACUGGCAUAACUCCAGAGUCCUUCUAGAGACCGAAGUUGGAAAAGCUUUGCAAGAGGAUCCGCUGAACCUGCUACAUGGCAAGCAUGUAAUAGGAGACGGCACCUUCCCGCUGUCCGAACAUCUUCUCACGCCGUUUCCAGACUACGGGAUGCUAGGAGAGAAGAAGCUGCGUUACAAUUUAAGAGUUCAGGCGGCUCUUCGGGUGGUCCGAGGAUCCUUAAGUAGUCUGAGAUGCAGGUUUCAGCGGCUGAGGUGUUUGGAAGUGAAUUCUGUAAGCCAAACCCAUCUGGCUGUGAGGACUUGCUGUAUCUUAUAUAACAUGUAUUUAGAGACUGAUAAUGCUGCUACAGCUGAAGGUUUAGAAGAACAGGUGACUGAUCAGCCACCUUUUCACAAACUCCCCCAUGGCCACUCGGGCAGUCUUGGUGGAAUCUCUAAAAGACAGGACAUCGCCGCUUCACUUGGACGAAAGAGUAAAAAAAGGUGAAGGAAUGAUACAAAGGGAACAUUUAAAAAGAUUUUAUAUAUAUAUAUGGUAUAAGCAAUCAAGAUGUGAUUGAAGAUUUUUUUGCUUUAAUUCAAGGGGUUUAACAAAAAAUAUUGCAUUAACUGAUUAGGAAUUACAGCAGUUUCUUGCUUUAGUGUCCCUCCAAUUUCACAGGCUGAAAAGUAAUUGGACAGUUGACUGAUGAGCAGUUUCAUGGUCUCAUGAUCCAAAGCAUACCACAUCAUCUGUCAAACAUGGCGGAGGAAGUGUUAUGGCAUAGGAAUGUGUGGCUUUAAUUGAAUAAAGUAUAUGUCCGAUAUGAAGACAGACGGGUUGGUUUGAGUAUUUCAGAAACUGCUUGAGAUUUACACACACUACACUCUCUAGAGUUGUACGUUCUCAAAAUGGUACGUCCAGAAACACCUUCUUGACGAGAAAGACCAGAGGACUGGUUUUGUGCUGACAGGAAGGCUGCAGUAACUCGAACAAUCACUCUUUACAACCGUGGUGAGCAGAGAUCUUUCCAAUCUUCAACCCUCCAGUUUCAUUGAGAGCCAAAAGGGGAAACAUGAACAUCUUUGGCUCUGUUGGAUUGUUUUUGUUGCAGAACACAACUUCUUGAAAUCCUCCCCUUUAAAAAAAACUAAAAACAUUUCUAUGUAUUCUUCCACCUUAAAAUUAUGGGUGAUGCAAAACUUUUGUAAUCAUAUGCAUAGACGCAUACUAUAUAUAUAUAUAUAUAUAUAUAUAUAUAUAUAUAUAUAUAUAUAUAUAUAUA